UACGGAGGGUGCAAGCGUUGUUCGGAAUUACUGGGCGUAAAGCGCGUGUAGGCGGCCUUUUAAGUCUGAUGUGAAAGCCCGGGGCUCACCCCCGGAAGUGCAUCGGAUACUGGGAGGCUCGAGUACCGGAGAGGAGGGUGGAAUUCCUGGUGUAGCGGUGAAAUGCGUAGAUAUCAGGAGGAACACCAAUUGCGAAGGCAGCUGGCUAGACCCGGAUUGACGCUGAGGCACGAAAGCGUGGGGAGCGAACAGG
rnacentral:rRNA from 1 species